GAUAGUAUAUCAGGCUAUCAAUAACAUUAUAUCACUGAUCAAUAGGCCCUGCAUUAAACCAAAACUCUUUCUGAAGUGAGAAUCUCUUCUUUAUCUGCCAAAAUUCAUGAGGAAGAAACACCAGGAAAUACUUCAAUCUGUAUUCCCUUGCCAAAGAUGAUAUACCUUUCCAAGUGGCAUAGCUCCAGGGAAGAUAUUUGGUUGUUAGAAACUUUCAGUGACCACAGAGGAUUUUUAACUAAAUAGAGCAAAAAGCACAAAGCAGUAGCCACAAUACUGAGGUUAAGCAAACAUUUGUACUCAACCCAUCAGAAAGAUUCAGUCCCAUAUAUAUGUCACAAUGGCUGUGAUUCUCUACUGCAAAGCUUGUGGACAUAGAGACACUGCCUUUGUGGAGGGUAGGAUGCCAGAAAGAAGAGAGAAGGAGAUUGUUGAGUGGAACUCUAAUGUUCCCGAACAGUGAUCUGUGUGUGUUUUCAA